GCUCUCUGAAAGCAGUGCGAAGAAAUGUGAAAGUCAGGGCCUGCUCACUAAAGAGCUGCCAAUGCUGUGGUGGAAAACACACAUGAAUGGAGUACCUUCAAUAGGAGACCAACCCUUGCCAUGAGACUUAUGACUAUUAACUAUCUCAGAAUUUUACCAUUGUUCAGUUCUGGAAAUCAAAUGCAUGGCAUCAGCAAGCCUUCUGCCAUGAAGCUAUAUAACCAGCCUUAAGGUCUGCUUAUAUUUUUCACCUUGGAUGCAAGAACACUUUGAUUGUAACCUCACCCCAGUGAACCAAACAAUGGUGUAAAGAGAACUGUUUCUUCUCCUGGGAAAAAGGACCAGUGGUUUCCUGCUGAGCUAAAAGCUAAGGCGAGCCAGUGA